ACUAGUGACAGGCAGUCAUUAAAAGACAAGUUUGGUAAUUCAAAGAAAGAUUUCCUUGGACCAAAAUCUAACGAGUGCUGCAUAGUAAGGCAGUUUUAUCAGACCUUCAUUUGAGAAUGGCUUGAGAGGUGGGCUUGGCAAAAUGCACUCAGUGAGCUUGGACAAACUUGACCUGAUUGUUUGACACAUCGUGGAGGAACAAAGGCCAGGAAACAGGACUCUGAUUAAGUACAGCUGAAUUCUACUCAUCAGUGAGGAGACAAAUUCAACAGCGAUUGCUGGACUGAUGCUGCAGUAGACAUCAGGAGGCUGACAUGCAAAUCUUUAUCUUGGCUCCAUUAACUGGAAUGAUGAGAGACACUGCCACCCAGAGCCAGAUGGGGUGUCCAGUGGUAUCUGGGAAGUCUUCCUCUGGGCUGGCAGGUAUGGAAGACCUGGAAUUCUUCUCAAGUGCUUCUCAGUGACCAGAUGGGAUACCCUUAUGCUUCUGAAUUGACAUCAAUCAACUGAGUAUGGGUAAUUAAAUGGUUUUCUGGAUCUUUAUUGUACCAG
rnacentral:lncRNA from 1 species